rnacentral:rRNA from 1 species
GUAGUCAUAUGCUUGUCUCAAAGAUUAGCCAUGCAUGUCUAAGUAUAAGCAAUUAUACCGCGAAACUGCGAAUGGCUCAUUAUAUAAGUUAUCGUUUAUUUGAUAGUACCUUACUACUUGGAUAACCGUGGUAAUUCUAGAGCUAAUACAUGCUAAAAAUCCCGACUUCGGAAGGGAUGUAUUUAUUAGAUUAAAAACCAAUGCCCUUCGGGGCUCACUGGUGAUUCAUGAUAACUCCUCGAAUUGCAUGGCCUUGAGCCGGCGAUGAUCAUUCAAAUUUCUCCCUAUCAACUUUCGAUGUUUGGGUAUUGGCCAAACAUGGUUGCACCGGGUAUCGGAGGGUUAGGGCUCGACCCCGGAGAAGGAGCAUGAGAAACGGCUACUACAUCCAAGGAAGGCAGCAGGCGCGCAAAUUACCCAAUCCCGACACGGGGAGGUAGUGACAAUAAAUACUGAUACAGGGCUCUUUUGGCUCUUGUAAUUGGAAUGAGUACAAUUCAAAUCCCUUAACGAGGAACAAUUGGAGGGCAAGUCUGGUGCCAGCAGCC